AGGUGCACUCCAUUGCAGAAAAAUAAUUGAGGAGGUUGGUCCAUGGCCACUCUCUGUUUCAUUUCCCCCAUCUCACUUAGGCUCAGGUUUUUCCUUUGUGCCUACUUUCUUUCUUUAUGCCUUUUCUUUUCAUUCAACAGAGGCUAUGCCUCAUUCGAAGGAAGGAAACUUGCAGAGAGCCAGCUUCCUCACCAUAGCCAUACAAUUCAAGUCAGCUCUCUACUCCCAUCUGAUUCUUGCAAACCUUCCACUACAAAAGGUCUUUCACAUAACUCUUAGCUUUUUUAACUUCUCUCUAGCUCAAAAUUAAUUAUUUUUCUUUGUUUAGACAAUCAUCGUCAUCAUCACCAUCAUCUUAAUCAUUAAUCAUUAUAACUAUCUUAUUUUAAUUGUUAUUAACACCUUUAUAAGGUAGUUUCAGAGUGAAAAAGGAUUUAAUUAUUAAUUAAUCUCCUUUCAUUUCUUUUUCUUUCUAUAAUUUUUAUGGCAUAUCAAACCUAUUAGCUAGUGAAGUUAUUGACAAAAGGAAAAAACGAAUAAAAGAAAAGAAAAGAAAAAUCUUUCUCUAAGUGAAGGUUUCUGAUUGAAAAAUGGAUAUUAGGUAGUGAGAGGGCCCUCCAUGCAGAAAAAGAGCUUAUAUUCUUUGAAGAGUUAUCAUCACUCACCAGCAAAAAAUCCUACUCCAUGUACAGUGUCUCAAGGCAAUUGCUGGUCACAUUUUUAGUGAUUGAUAUAUUCAGUGUCUUGUGAGAUUCAGCCCUCCCCAUUUCUCACAUAAAGAUGAAAAAUUUUGUAAGAAAUAAAUGAGAAGAAUCGAAUCAAAAUCUCUUUACUCUCUGCACCUUAAAUGCUUAUGAAAACCUACCAAAUUAUAUUUUUCUAUAUAACUUCAAUAUAUUCAAAAUAAAUAAUUUUAAGAUGCUUUAAAAAAUUAGAAUUGAUAGAGAAAGGGUGCUCUAGUCUUUAUUAAUCAGACAAACUCUGCCAGCUGCUAAGUUGUCCUUUAUUCUUAGAAUCUAUAGAGCAAAUCGCUGAUUUAUAGGUAAGUCCAGGCGAGAGUCUAAUUUGACAACUGCACACAAAUAUAUUUAUAAUUCAAGGAAAUUAGUGGAAAAUAUUAUAAUCCCAAAUGAUUGUACGAUUCAAAGAAAGUGUUUCAUUAAGCAAAAUAUAAAAUAAAAACUAUUUCAUGAAAGCUUAGAAUGAUUCCACACAUCACAAGUAGUCUACUCAUUCAUGAAUUUCUAUAAUGAAAAACAUUAAAUUGCUUUAUCAUAUGAUGAAAUCUAUUGUUUUUAUUUUGUUGUUCAAAAUGAUAAUAUUGCUUAAAUGUAAUUAAAUAGAAGGGAACUUUCAUGAUUUUAUCAGUUAGUCCACAGAAAGUUUAGGAAAUGCCCAAUUGAGUACGACAACUCUCCAACAACCGGUUGUUUUAACUCUAUGUUCUUACAUAGUUGCAAGCUACUUUUGAGGCGUGCAAUUUUCUAUUACUGUAGAUGACAAGUUUAGGUCCAGGCAUGGGUGUGGUCUGGUUUCAGGUCUAAAUAAAAAUUUAAUUAGGGACUAAAUCCAAGGAUUUCUCUCUCGAUUUCAUUUAGUUUGAUCAAAUUUACUAGUUAAAAAUUUUUAAAAAAAUAAAAACUAGUAACUGCAAUGCAGAAUUAAACAAAAUUAGCAUCGGAUCGAUCAGAUCGAUCCCCAAUCAGAAGAUCACAGUAGUCUAAAUUCUAAAAGCACAUUUUAGAAGAAAAAGAAGAGAGAUCUCUGUGCUGAUACCGUUAAAGCGAAAUGAUGAACCAGCA
rnacentral:misc_RNA from 1 species